rnacentral:rRNA from 1 species
GUAGGGAAUAUUGCACAAUGGGCGAAAGCCUGAUGCAGCAACGCCGCGUGCGCGAAGAAGGCCUUCGGGUUGUAAAGCGCUUUUCGGGGAGAAGAGGAAGGACAGUAUCCCCGGAAUAAGGCUCGGCUAACUACGUGCCAGCAGCCGCGGUAACACGUAGGAGCCAAGCGUUAUCCGAAUUCACUGGGCGUAAAGCGCGUGUAGGCGGUCUUACAAGUUGGAUGUGAAAGCUCCUGGCUCAACUAGGAGAGGACGUUCAAUACUGUGAGACUAGAGGACGGCAGAGGAAGGUGGAAUUCCCGGUGUAGUGGUGAAAUGCGUAGAUAUCGGGAGGAACACCAGAGGCGAAGGCGGCCUUCUGGGCCGAUCCUGACGCUCAGACGCGAAAGCUAGGGGAGCGAACGGGAUUAGAAACCCUAGUAGUCC